CCAAGUUCCGAUUGACAUGGAAUUUAAAACCUUAGCCUUCAAAAACUUUCUUCUUUUGAGAGAUUACCAAAGACUGGGAAACUCUGCUAUCAAGGUACAUAGGAAAUAAAAUUUUCCUUUCAUUAACCAGUUUCUUUAAAUGAAAUUAUCAGAUCCGUGGCAUUUCUUCGUGGUUUUGAAGCUGGAAAUUUUUGUUUCUUGUCAUUGUUGUUGUCACUGACAGUGUGUGGUAAGAGAAAUGAAGAGAUACUGGGAAGAGAAUUUUAUGAUGUACAGAGGAGGUCAGUGGCGAGUUUGGGAAUGAUGAUAUGAUUUCUAUGCUCAACUUCAAAAGGAUAAAACUGAUUCUGUGUGCAGCAUCAUCUAAGAAACUUCCAGCUAUGCAGUUUUUUUUGACAGGAUUUAACUAUUUGCAGGUACUAAAGGAGAUGGGCUUAGAUUUCUUGUGAUAAAAUAUUUGAUUUUCUGAUUGAAGACUUAGUAACACGUAGGCUUCUGGAAUUGAUGACAGCUGUGCAAAUUCCUGUUACUGAAGCAGGGGAGGGAGCCAGGAAAUCAAGCACCAGCCCUUUCCCUUUUCUUAUUGCUCACUCAGCUGCUGUCUAAAGCCCCAGCUACGGCCUCAUUCUUUCAAGGCUGAGUUAUCUUGUGUGGUAUGAAGAGGGUUGCCGUGAAGAAUGAGGAUUUGCAGACAGCUGUGCUGCACAUACCUGUGCAUCCCAAGGAACCAGCAUCUGUCCUUCAUGAACUGACAAAAAGACCAGCAGGACCCACGAUCACCUGAAGCAAACAAUGCCAUAGAUAUUGUUUGGGAACAACAGUCAGACACUCGGGGAAAACCUUUGCUUCGAUGAACAAAAGCCACCCAAGACAGUUCUUUGUCCUAGACUUCCAGCUACUCUGACCCUCAGGGUCUUUGGACUAUCACAACAGUCUGUCAAACAGACAAGUAAAUGAACUUUCUUUUGGAUUAUGUAGUGAUUGUCAUACACCUAAAAUACUGCCAAGAGCUCAGCUGGAUUUCUAAACUAGGAUUCCAAAUACCUGCUGAAGGGACAGAGACUAUAGAUGAACUCAUUCUGCCCCACUUCUGUGUAAAGAAGAGAAUGACCAGCUGGUGAUGAAAAUCUAAUUAUUGGCUUGUUUAAUCAGGAAUUAUUUGUUCAUGUCUUUAUCCCAGGAGAGAUUGCAGAAGUCUUGGGAGUACCUUCCACGCCCAAAGGUUUGGGAGCAUGAAGUGCCUGGCAGAUCCUACAAUACUGCUGGUAAAGUACAAUGCAUAAAAACACAGUACUCUCCACAAACUGUUUCAUCAUGACUGUCUGUUAGCAGGAAACCAACAAAUGAUCUCUGGGACCUCGUUGUACUUUUCCACGGUACCAACUGUGGCACUGAAGUGGUACUGAGAGUACAAAUAUAUGUUUAAUCCAUUUCUGCCACUUCUGAGGAUCAAAGAAACAAAGGGGAACAUAAAGCAGUUAUGAAAACUAUUUUCUCUAAAGAGUGAUUUUCCCAGGCAAAACUCACCUCCAGUCGUAGGAGAUAACCUGGAUUCCUGCCUGAGCUGAUCGGAGCUGAAGUCAAAGGUUUGGUUUUCCUCAUUGUGGUUUCCGUCUUCAAUCCCAUCUACAAUUCUGUUGAGAAAAAUCAGGGUAGUGGAGCAGUUUCAUAAACAGUUUCAUAAACAUCACGUUCAUAAUUAUACUGUAAAAAUUACUCCUAAAGGGCACAUUUUUAAACAAUGGUAAAUUUUGCACAACAUUAAGUUUAGAGAAAAGUAAAAACUAUUAUACUGGUAUAACUUCUUGUGAGUCACUAAAGAUUAAACUUAGUGUUAAUGGAAGGAACAUGAGGCCAAAAAUAAUUAACUGAAGUUUCAAAAUUUUCAUGACUUUUACAGCGUAUUCUGAGUCUUAUCUAAACCUAUAGGGAAUAUAGUUUGCUUUUCAUAGCUAAAGUAAUCUGUUGCCACCUUUUCCUCUGCACAAUCUAAAAAGCUCUUAUUAAGCUAAAAUCUGCCUGCACAUAACAACCAGGCUCUUAUAUUAGCCUUACUUAGGCAGAGCCUAAGCCUGAACUUAAUAUAUUUAUGAAAACAUCUCUGUAAAAUUCAGUCAAAAGUGUCAUUUCCAUGCAAACAGUUAUUAUAAAUUUGUUUAAAUUUAACUAGCUCAGGCAGGGCAAUCUUGUUUGUAAAUUGGAUAUAGGAAGAUGUGCAGACUAGCCUGCAGUGUCCUAGUUACAUUAAUAUCAAUAUUGGAUAUGACUACCAGAAAAAGUAUUUUUGUCACUUAUUUCUACCCAUGCAUAGCAGUUAUCUCCAUUUUCCCAUGUUAAGAAUUCCAAAGGAAAAAAAGGUACAGUACUUUAUAAAAUAAUCAAUUCUGCAUGCAAAGAAUAGAAAACAUGUAUCAGAUGGAGGAAUAAAUACCCAGGAUUAAAAAUACAUAAUUACGAAUAUUUUUUGUUCUGAGUUAUAAUAAAUCGUGCUAUAAAGAGAACUGUUUUAAAGUCAAUGAAAGAGACUGACAACUGCCAGUUGACAGAUAUAAAGCAUGAAUUUCUUCUUUUGUUCAGGCACAAGCUUCAUAUUUUGUCUUACAGUAGGCAGAUGAGUUUAAUACUAAUCUUGAAGGGCUAAAGCAGGCAGUUCUUGGCCUCUCAGUUACUGGUGAUAACUUUGGGGUGAUGGAAACUAGACUUUUCAUCUAAUAAGGAUAUUUUCAAGAAAACCUCUUGACUACAACUGUCUGGAGAAAGGAAAAACAGACAACACAGAGAUAUCUGUGAUGUAUUUGCCUUGAAAGACCAAUGUAACUUAGACCUCUGUGCACAUACCAUGUAUUCUUGUCUUUUUUGGUUCUUCAUGUGGCUUUUGGGCUCUGUUUCAUGUCUGAGUGUUCAUGAUGCCUGCUGGAUAUUACUAGACUUCAUUCUAAUCUUAACCAGCCUCUGGGAGAAGAUGAGACACAAAUGAGGUGCUUCAGCCGCUCUGGCCGAUAAUGCUAUCUGCAGCUGGAAAACUGAAUGAUUACUUUAUUUGAAAUUUGCUAUAAAACCUAUUUAAUGUCAUCUGGCUUCGCUACUUCAAAAAGCAAAUUUUAAACACCAAUAUCCCUUUUAUAAAAGUUUCUAAUUAUAUGAAAUGAUAACAUUUCAACUGCCUUUAAAGCACACAGGAGAAAGCUUACUCAGACAUUACUUGAAAUUCAGAGAUGCUACAUUCUUUAAAAUGUUUAAAGAUUCAGGCUAAAAAGAAAUUAUAUUAGCAAAAGUAGCUAGUCGUGGAGUGCCAAAAGACAGGCUUCUAUGUGGGAAAUAUGUAAUGGGCAACAUCCUUACUCAUAUACAAGGAAUGGGCUGUGGAGCAAUAUCUAAUAAAUUGAAAAUGUGAGGUGACAAAAGAA